UACAUAGGAAUCUGCCCAGUAGCGGGGGACAACUCGGGGAAACCUCGAGCUAAUACCGCAUACGCCCUAAGGGGGAAAGCAGGGGAUCUUCGGACCUUGCACUAUUGGAUGAGCCUAUGUCGGAUUAGCUUGUUGGUGAGGUAAUGGCUUACCAAGGCUACGAUCUGUAGCUGGUCUGAGAGGACGAUCAGCCACACUGGGACUGAGACACGGCCCAGACUCCUACGGGAGGCAGCAGUGGGGAAUAUUGGACAAUGGGGGCAACCCUGAUCCAGCAAUGCCGCGUGUGUGAAGAAGGCC
rnacentral:rRNA from 1 species